rnacentral:lncRNA from 1 species
CAACAACUGGGCAACUCAAGGGGGAUCUAUAGCAAAGAUCACCCACUAGAGGAGUCCCUGGUUGGUCAAAAGUGGCCAGGCAGGUCGUAGUAGCCCCACUGUACUAAAUCAUUGGUUGGGAGCUGCUCCAAUAUUGGGUUGGAUUCCAAAGGCGCUGCAGAUAGAGGCUGUCAGCAACUGCUCUCCUCAGAGUCCACGGUGGAGAUCCCUUAUAGACACCUUGUACCGGAAACUCCUUCUCAGCAAAGACUUCAAGAGAACCCAAGCUGUGAGAGCGGUCCUACGUGAUCAAUGAGAGCAUGACCGGUUUGGUGAGACUCCAGGAAGCUUUCCUGCAGUGGCUGGUCCACUUACGGGUCCCCCUCUGGACAACAAGCUAAACAAGAAUAUUUAGUCUCCUCACAUCAUAGCAGACAGCUCUUACCCAAUGAAAUGCUGGAAUUCCAGAGCUUCCGAGGUGUUGAUCCCAGGAAAACUUCCCAAUUAAGCUUCCUGAUUUUCAUCUCCAUCAGAAGGUUUGCUUCCUGGAAACUCAUCUUAUCACAGUUUAUAAACACGUGAUUUAUUCAUCCAUUAAAUAAAUAUGCUGGUCUCACAUGCUCUUAG